rnacentral:rRNA from 1 species
CCCUUAGAUGUUCUGGGCUGCACCCGUGCUACACUGGCAGGUUCAGCGAGCUUCAUGCCCUGAUCUGAAAGGAAUGGGAAAUCUUUUCAAAACCUGCCGUGCUUGGGAUAGAUGUUUGCAAUUAUUCAUCUUCAACGAGGAUUGCCUUGUAAGCGCACGUCAUCAGCGUGCAUUGAAUACGACCCUGUAUUCUGUACACACCGCCCGUCGCUCCUACCGAUUGAAGUUUUCGGUGAGUUGACAGGAGGAUUUUUUUGAAACUGGUUCGCCAGUGGAUUUUAGAUACAAAUGCCAACGAAUCGAUGGCUUUAGAGGAAGGAGAAGUCGUAACA